rnacentral:rRNA from 1 species
UACAGAGGUGGCAAGCGUUGUUCGGACUUACUGGGCGUAAAGGGCGCGUAGGCGGUUUUGUAAGUCCCGCGUGAAAUCCCCCGGCUCAACUGGGGAACUGCGUGGGAAACUGCGAGGCUUGAGUUCGGGAGAGGGAAGCGGAAUUCCGGGUGUAGCGGUGAAAUGCGUAGAUAUCCGGAGGAACACCGGUGGCGAAGGCGGCUUCCUGGACCGACACUGACGCUGAGGCGCGAAAGCCAGGGGAGCGAACGGG